rnacentral:rRNA from 1 species
GACGAACGCUGGCGGCGUGCUUAACACAUGCAAGUCGAACGAAGUGGCGAACGGGUGAGUAACGCGUAAUCAACCUGCCCUUCAGAGGGGGACAACAGUUGGAACCGACUGCUAAUACCGCAUACUGAAGGCGGGGAUUGCGUGUGAUUAGCUAGUUGGAGGGGUAACGGCCCACCAAGGCGAUGAUCAGUAGCCGGUCUGGGAGGAUGAACGGCCAAAUUGGGACUGAGAAACGGCCCAGACUCCUACGGGAGGCAGCAGGGGGGAAUCUUCCGCAAUGGAGGGAAGGCUGACGGAGCAACGCCGCGUGAGUGAUGACGGCCUUCGGGUUGGAAAGCUCUGUCAAUCGGGACGCGGUACCGGAAUAGAAAGCCACGGCUAACUACGUGCCAGCCGCCGCGGUAAUUC